rnacentral:rRNA from 1 species
CCUACGGGAGGCAGCAGUGGGGAAUUUUCCGCAAUGGGCGAAAGCCUGACGGAGCAAUACCGCGUGAGGGAGGAAGGCUUUUGGGUCGUAAACCUCUUUUCUCAGGGAAGAACACAAUGACGGUACCUGAGGAAUCAGCAUCGGCUAACUCCGUGCCAGCAGCCGCGGUAAUACGGAGGAUGCAAGCGUUAUCCGGAAUCAUUGGGCGUAAAGCGUCCGCAGGUGGCUUUUCAAGUCUGCUGUCAAAGCCCGGGGCUCAACCCUGGAGAGGCAGUGGAAACUGAGGAGCUAGAGUGUGGUAGGGGCAGAGGGAAUUCCCGGUGUAGCGGUGAAAUGCGUAGAUAUCGGGAAGAACACCAGUGGCGAAAGCGCUCUGCUGGACCACAACUGACACUCAUGGACGAAAGCUAGGGGAGCGAAUGGGAUUAGAUACCCCAGUAGUCCUAGCCGUAAACGAUGGACACUAGGUGUUGCGCGUAUCGACCCGUGCAGUGCCGUAGCCAACGCGUUAAGUGUCCCGCCUGGGGAGUACGCUCGCAAGAGUGAAACUC